CAGAGGUACUGCUAUCKMGMYYCGACUAAGCCAUGCGAGUUGAAUGUUCUUCGUGAACAUGGCGGACUGCUCAGUAACACGUGGACAACCUACCCUUGGGUCCGGCAUAAUCCUGGGAAACUGGGAAUAAUUCCGGAUAGGUCACCGAUGCUGGAAUGCGCGGUGGCCGAAAGCUCCGGCGCCCGAGGAUGGGUCUGCGGCCUAUCAGGGUUGUAGUGGGUGUAACGUACCUACUAGCCUACGACGGGUACGGGUUGUGAGAGCAAGAGCCCGGAGAUGGAUUCUGAGACACGAAUCCAGGCCCUACGGGGUGCAGCAGGCGCGAAAACUUUACAAUGCGGGAAACCGUGAUAAGGGGAUCUCGAGUGCCAGCAUAUAAUGUUGGCUGUCCAGAUGCCUAAAAAGCAUCUGUUAGCAAGGGCCGGGCAAGACCGGUGCCAGCCGCCGCGGUAACACCGGCGGCCCGAGUGGUAACCGCUAUUAUUGGGUCUAAAGGGUCUGUAGCCGGCCAGGUAAGUCCCUUGGGAAAUCUGGCAGCUCAACUGUCAGGCUGCUAGGGGAUACUGUUUGGCUUGGGACCGGGAGAGGUGAGAGGUACCUUGGGGGUAGGGGUGAAAUCUUGUGAUCCUCGAGGGACCACCAGUGGCGAAGGCGUCUCACCAGAACGGGUCCGACGGUAAGGGACGAAAGCUAGGGGCACGAACCGGAUUAGAUACCCGGGUAGUCCUAGCCGUAAACGAUGCUCGCUAGGUGUCAGUCACGGUGCGACCGUGAUUGGUGCCGUAGGGAAGCCGUGAAGCGAGCCACCUGGGAAGUAUGGCCGCAAGGCUGAAACUUAAAGGAAUUGGCGGGGGAGCACKMSWMMGGGUGGAGCCUGCGGUUAAUG
rnacentral:rRNA from 1 species